rnacentral:other from 1 species
AAUAUCCUGUGGUGUGCGUUAGUCAAAGCUUUUACCCACAGAUUCAUAAAAGGAUUCCGGGUCGGUAUGCAGAUGCCAAGCCUCCUUCGCAGUGGAAGGCAGCAAGCAGCCGCAGGUCUCCGCCCUGCCUGAGCGGCGGGUGAAAAAGCAGCGACAGACGGCACUUACGGGAUAUCU